GGGGAUAUAGCUCAGUUGGUAGAGUGUUUGCCUUGCACGUAUAUAGGCCCUGGGUUCUAAUCCCCAGCACCA
rnacentral:tRNA from 1 species